GACGUAGGGUGCGAGCGUUGUCCGGAUUUAUUGGGCGUAAAGAGCUCGUAGGCGGCUCGUCGCGUCGACCGUGAAAACCCGCAGCUUAACUGCGGGCUUGCGGUUGAUACGGGCGGGCUAGAGUUCGGUAGGGGAGACUGGAAUUCCUGGUGUAGCGGUGAAAUGUGUUGAUAUCGGGAGGAACACCUGAGGCGAAGGCGGGCUACUGGGCCGAUACUGACGCUGAUGCGCGAAAGCCAGGGGAGCGAACGGG
rnacentral:rRNA from 1 species